UACAGGGGGGGGCAAGCGUUGUUCGGAAUUACUGGGCGUAAAGGGCUCGUAGGCGGCCAACUAAGUCACACGUGAAAUCCCCAGGCUUAACCUGGGAACUGCGUGUGAUACUGGAUGGCUUGAAUUCGGGAGAGGGAUGCAGAAUUCCUGGUGUAGCGGUGAAAUGCGUAGAGAUGGGGGAGAACACUCGUGGCGAAGGCGGCCAGCUAGACCAGUUCUGACACUGAGGCGCGACAGCGUGGGGAGCAAACAGG
rnacentral:rRNA from 1 species